UACGAAGGGGGGCUAGCGUUGCUCGGAAUUACUGGGCGUAAAGCGCACGUAGGCGGCUCUUUAAGUCGGGGGUGAAAUCCUGGAGCUCAACUCCAGAACUGCCUUCGAUACUGUAGAGCUUGAGUUCGGGAGAGGUGAGUGGAACUGCGAGUGUAGAGGUGAAAUUCGUAGAUAUUCGCAAGAACACCAGUGGCGAAGGCGGCUCACUGGACUGGUAUUGACGCUGAGGUGCGAAAGCGUGGGGAGCAAACAGG
rnacentral:rRNA from 1 species